UCAGCUGACCUGCAAUGCACAGCAAGAAACAAAUGCUCACUGGUGUGCUACUGAGGUUUCACGUCAUUUGGUACCUAGCAAUGGCUGAUGCAUAUACUGCUCCACCCUCCAGGCCCUCUUGGAAACCUGCACAGAAGGAAGGUUUCUGGGAAGAGGAGACUUUAUGUGAAAUCCUGUCCCAGAAGAUCAUUCCUUCCUUAGAACAGCAUUGUAUAGCAAAUGAAAAACACCACGACGAGGCAGAGAGAGACCACAGAAGAAAGCAAUAGGUAUGCUCCGGCAACUGUUAUGUUGAUUCCUGUCAGCCCCCACCAGCCUGGGAAGUAGACUUUCACCACAAGACGGAAAAGUAAGAGGGGAGAUUACGAGGGGCUCCCAGUCUGCCUGACAGCAGUAGGAGAAGAGUCGGAACUCUUGGACUUUUUGCUUUGAGGCAUUUAAAUGGAAAUUAAAGUAAAUUUGC